GUCAUCCGACCCUUUUUUUUUCUUGCUUCUCCAAACGACGCCACCAACCGCCGCAAUAGAUCAAUAGAAAGAUAGGAAUAUCUUCCAUAUAUGAAUAGUUUUCCGGCAGCCGCCACCACCCAACCCCUCCUCGAAGACGACUUCUCCUUUUACAUCUCCUUUUUUCAGGACGACUCCGCCGCACCACCCGCUUCGCCUCCGACGUCGAUCUCCGACAUGCCCAAGGGUCGCCGUAGACGAGAAGCCGGCGCAUCCGCCUCCGGUGAUGAGAGGAGGAAGAAGCGGAAAUCGAUCGCCAAUCUGCUGACCUCCAUCGCGGCGAUCGACGCCCAGGAUGAGUCCGAGCGGCGCGAGUCCGACGAAGACUCUCGCCGCGAGCUCUCACUUCUCGAGGAGAACCACCACCGGAAGGCUGAGGUCAUGCUCGACUACUACUCCCGCCUCGAGGACAACUUCUCCGCCCUCGACGAUGACGCUGACACCCUCCGCUCCAAGCGCGUCCGAGUAGCCGCCUCUGCGGUCGCCGCUGCAGCGGCGGCGGCCUCCGCUUCCGUCGAGAACGACGCUGGCCCUGCCACUUCCGCCGCCGGAAGCGGCCACCAGCAGAGGCGGCUUUGGGUGAAGGACCGGUCGCGAGCGUGGUGGGAC
rnacentral:lncRNA from 1 species